GACGAACGCUGGCGGCGUGCUUAACACAUGCAAGUCGAACGGAAAGGCCCUGCUUUUGUGGGGUGCUCGAUUGGCGAACGGGUGAGUAACACGUGAGUAACCUGCCCUUGACUUUGGGAUAACUUCAGGAAACUGGGGCUAAUACCGGAUAGGAGCUCCUGCUGCAUGGUGGGGGUUGGAAAGUUUCGGCGGUUGGGGAUGGACUCGCGGCUUAUCAGCUUGUUGGUGGGGGAGUGGCUUACCAAGGCUUUGACGGGUAGCCGGCCUGAGAGGGUGACCGGCCACCUUGGGCCUGAGAUACGGACCAGACUCCUACGGGAGGCAGCAGGGGGGAACCUUGCCCAAUGGGACGACGCCUGAUGCAGCAACGCUGCGUGCGGGAUGACGGCCUUCGGGGUGUAAACCGCUUUCGGCUGUGACGCAGCGUGAGUGACGGUAAUGGGUAAAGAAGCACCGGCUAACUACGUG
rnacentral:rRNA from 1 species